rnacentral:lncRNA from 1 species
CAGCUGACACGUAGGGCCGGUCGGUCAGAUACGUGGUCAAUACGAGCUUAUACACCUGUCAGACCGUUUUGCAACACUUAGGCUUAGAGUUGGCACUGCAUGGCAAAAAAAGUAACUAGUGAUACUGAUUCGUCACAACGUGCCGAAGUCAAUACGAGCUUAUACGCCUGUCAAACCGUUUUGCAACACUUAGGCUUAGAGUUGGCACUACAUGGCAAAAAAAGUAACUGGUGAUACUGAUUCGUCACAACGUGCCGAAGUGUGGCAGUGCCUUGCAAUUAACUCCGUCCAACCUGAUACUAAGGGCCGGGAUCGUCAGGUAGUUGUGCCCUUAGAAAGUGGUCGCUAGAACAGUCAG